GACGAACGCUGGCGGCGUGCCUAACACAUGCAAGUCGAGCGGAAGGGCGCGGAUUUUGUGGCGCUGACGAUUGCGGAGGAGGUGUGUAUCACGUGUGUAAACCGUCCCUAUAUGUGUGGUAUAAUCAGGGAAAAGGGGCUAAUACCGCAUAGGAGCUUCUGCACCACAGUGGUGAUUAGUAAAUGUCGGUGGUUCGGUCUGGUCUAGAGGGAUCCCCGCUUGUUUGUCUGGUUGGUAAGUUAACGGCUUACCAAGGCAACGAUGCAUAGCCGAGCUGAGGGGGUGAUCGGCCACCCUGGAACUUAGACACGGUCCAGACUCCUACGGGAGGCAGCAGUAGGGAACCUUCCGCAAUGGGCGGAAGCCUGGCGGAGCAACGCCGCGUGAGUGAUGAAGGUCUUCGGAUCGUAAAACCCUGUUAUUAGGGAAGAACAUAUGUGUAAGUAACUGUGCACAGCUUGACGGUACCUAAUCAGAAAGCCACGGCUAACUACGUG
rnacentral:rRNA from 1 species